AGUAACGGCGAGUGAAGCGGCAGCAGCUCAAAUUUGAAAUCUGGCUCUCGGGCCCGAGUUGUAAUUUGUAGAGGAUGCUUUUGAUGCGGUGCCUUCCGAGUUCCCUGGAACGGGACGCCAUAGAGGGUGAGAGCCCCGUCUGGUUGGAUGCCAAAUCUCUGUAAAGCUCCUUCAACGAGUCGAGUUGUUUGGGA
rnacentral:rRNA from 1 species